CAGGAGACUCCAACAGCUGGGCAGGCGGCGUCCUUGCCCGUCCUCCACGGGCGAGAUGCGCUGUCCACCUCCGCCCUCCUCUUGCUCCACCUGGCCAGAGGCCUGGGCUGCGCGCUCCCCGCGCUCCUGCGCAGGCUCUACUGGGAGCCCCUCCAGGGCGCAGUCCGGACCUGACGGGCAAGCCCUGACCUGCCUUUCAUCCCGCUGAUGCUCGCGCCCAGCUCCCUGUGAAUACCCACUGAUUGCCCCCGGAGUCUCCCCGUUAGGCCCUCCCGCACCUCUUACCCCUUCCUCCCCUUCCUGGCCUCCCCAGCUCCCUCACCCGCCUUCUAGAAGCAUCCUCCCCCUUCUCACCCACCUCUCUACUCCUCCCUUCCCGACUUCCUCAAUUCCCACCUCCCCCCCAAAUUCCAGUCCUCUCCCUGGGAAAGAGAAAGCGGCCGGGGUCCCACCCUGGCUGUGUGUGGCCCGCGGUGGGGUGGGGCAGCCUGCCAGCCGCCAGAUACAUAUCAAGGUAUAGAGAAGAACUUACCCAUCAAUAAUCAUGGGGAAUGGAGCAACCUCACUGCUGAAGCCCCUUAGGGACCCUCUUCACCACCUUCCUCACCCUCAUCCCUGAGUGCCGCGAUGAACAUUCUGGUCUGUGUCUUCUUGUGCACAUGUGAGUUUCUAUGGAGUGCACCUAGCAUUGGCCACAGACAUUGCAAGGGAUGCCUAACUUCAGUGCUACAAAUUACUGCCCAGUCGUUCUCCAAAGCGAUCUUGCCAGCAGCAGAUGAGUCAUUGUAGUAACACUCCCAGCCCUCAACACUGCCUCUCAUCACGUCAGUUCUUUUCCAGUGUAAUGGGUGUGGUUACUUCUCAUGGUUUAAAUUUGCAUUUCCCUAAUUACCAUGGGGUUAGAGGUCAGGCAUUUGUUCCUAUGUUUAUUGGUAUUUUUUAUACUGUAAAGUCUUGAUCAUAACUUUUUCCUAUUUUUCUAUUGGUUGUUGACAUUUUCUUGUUGGUUUUUAAGAAUUCUUUAUAAAUUUUGUAUCUUAAUCUUUCAUCAGAUGGAUGAGUUGCAAAUAUUGUCAUUCACUCCAUGGCUUAUCUUAUAACUAUUUGUGAUGUCUUUCAAGACACAGAAAAUUUACAUCUGCACAUAUUCUAAUUUACCUCUUUCUUUAAAGUUUGUACUUUGGUUGACAUGGUUAAAGUACCUUUUCCUCUUCCAAGAUAUAAGUUUCCCUACACUUUCUUCUAAAAGUUUUUAAAUUUUGUCGUUUUAUAUUUGGUCUUACAUCUAUCUGGAUUUGAUUCUUUGUAAAGGUGUGGUGGAGAGAUCAUCUUUCUCCUUGGAUAAUAAUUGUCAAAGCAUUUAUUGGACAGCUCAUCCUUUUCCAGUCAUCUGCAAUGCUGGCUUUGCCAUAAAUCAAAUUUCCCAGUAAGUGGUGGUCUGUUUCUGGGUUCUCUAUUUUGUUACAUUGUUCUGUCCUCUAGCAAUACUGCACUCUCACAUACUAUAACUUGAUAAUAAGUCUUGAUUUCUGGAUGAGCAUGUAUUCAUACAUUUUUUUUUCAAGACUAUCUCAACUAUUUGGAGUUCUCUGCAUUUUCAUACAUAUUUUAGAAUUAGCUUGUCAGUUCUAUAAACAUUUUGUUGGGAUUUUGAUUUAAACAAUGACUUCCUAGGUUAAUUUAGGGAAACUGACAUCUUCAUGAUAUUGAGUCUUCCUAUUGAUAACCAUGGAAUAUGUCUCAUUUAUUUAGGUCUUCUUCAAAAUCCUUCAAUAAAGUUUUUCAU
rnacentral:lncRNA from 1 species